GGAGGGUGCAAGCGUCAAUCGGAAUUACUGGGCGUAAAGCGCACGCAGGCGGUUGGAUAAGUUAGAUGUGAAAGCCCCGGGCUCAACCUGGGAAUUGCAUUUAAAACUGUCCAGCUAGAGUCUUGUAGAGGGGGGUAGAAUUCCAGGUGUAGCGGUGAAAUGCGUAGAGAUCUGGAGGAAUACCGGUGGCGAAGGCGGCCCCCUGGACAAAGACUGACGCUCAGGUGCGAAAGCGUGGGGAGCAAACAGGAUUAGAUACCCUGGUAGUCCACGCCGUAAACGAUGUCGAUUUGGAGGCUGUGUCCUUGAGACGUGGCUUCCGGAGCUAACGCGUUAAAUCGACCGCCUGGGGAGUACGGCCGCAAGGUUA
rnacentral:rRNA from 1 species